CGGGGAAUAUUGCGCAAUGGGCGAAAGCCUGACGCAGCAACGCCGCGUGAGGGAUGAAGGCUUUCGGGUUGUAAACCUCUUUCAGCAGGGACGAUUGUGACGGUACCUGCAGAAGAAGCCCCGGCCAACUACGUGCCAGCAGCCGCGGUAACACGUAGGGGGCGAGCGUUGUCCGGAUUUAUUGGGCGUAAAGAGCUCGUAGGCGGUUCGGUAAGUCGGGUGUGAAAACUCUGGGCUCAACUCAGAGACGCCACCCGACACUGCUGUGACUUGAGUCCGGUAGGGGAGUAUGGAAUUCCCGGUGUAGCGGUGAAAUGCGCAGAUAUCGGGAGGAACACCAGUGGCGAAGGCGGUACUCUGGGCCGGAACUGACGCUGAGGAGCGAAAGCGUGGGUAGCGAACAGGAUUAGAUACCCUGGUAGUCCACGCCGUAAACGUUGGGCACUAGGUGUGGGUCUCAACCAACGGGAUCCGUGCCGCAGCUAACGCAUUAAGUGCCCCGCCUGGGGA
rnacentral:rRNA from 1 species